rnacentral:sRNA from 1 species
AGAUCGGGCCUUUCAGGCAUCCUCUCCUAAGACUUUCCAGGCCGUCCUCCGGGGCGGCCUUUUUUUAUCUGUUUA